AUUGAGGGCAUUUUCAAUAAAGAGCUACGAAUCUCGUCAGGUUCGGAAGAAAGCAGCGAUAAGUAGUGCCUUUAUGUGAGAUUGUCUUCGAUGAA
rnacentral:SRP_RNA from 1 species